AACUCCAAGAAGAGAAGACGGGUGCAGAAUCCCAAGCUUAGGAAGCAGUAUGCCGUCUUCACAACUCGGAGACAAAUUGCAGGCGCUAUGAACCGGAGCGAGGCGGUGACCUCCCAUUUGCUCGGAGCAAUGUCUGCAAUUCCAGAUUUACACGAUGUUGAUAAAGACGACAUUAUCUCCUGGCGAAGAAGAUGGCGUUGUUGGCGUGGUCUCUGGAUGGA